GACGAACGCUGGCGGCGUGCUUAACACAUGCAAGUCGAACGUGAUUUUUGUGGAAAUUCUUUCGGGAAUGGAAAUGAAAUGAAAGUGGCGAACGGGUGAGUAACACGUGAGCAACCUACCUUACACAGGGGGAUAGCCGUUGGAAACGACGAUUAAUACCGCAUGAGACCACAGAAUCGCAUGAUAUAGGGGUCAAAGAUUUAUCGGUGUAAGAAGGGCUCGCGUCUGAUUAGCUAGUUGGAAGGGUAAAGGCCUACCAAGGCGACGAUCAGUAGCCGGUCUGAGAGGAUGAACGGCCACAUUGGAACUGAGACACGGUCCAAACUCCUACGGGAGGCAGCAGUGGGGAAUAUUGCACAAUGGGGGGAACCCUGAUGCAGCGAUGCCGCGUGAGCGAAGAAGGUUUUCGAAUCGUAAAGCUCUGUCCUAUGAGAAGAUAAU
rnacentral:rRNA from 1 species